UGAACGCUGGCGGCGUGCUUAACACAUGCAAGUCGAACGAAGCACUUUAUUUGAUUUCCUUCGGGACUGAUUAUUUUGUGACUGAGUGGCGGACGGGUGAGUAACGCGUGGGUAACCUGCCUUGUACAGGGGGAUAACAGUUGGAAACGGCUGCUAAUACCGCAUAAGCGCACAGCAUCGCAUGAUGCAGUGUGAAAAACUCCGGUGGUAUAAGAUGGACCCGCGUUGGAUUAGCUAGUUGGUGAGGUAACGGCCCACCAAGGCGACGAUCCAUAGCCGACCAGAGAGGGUGACCGGCCACAUUGGGACUGAGACACGGCCCAAACUCCUACGGGAGGCAGCAGUGGGGAAUAUUGCACAAUGGGCGAAAGCCUGAUGCAGCGACGCCGCGUGAGCGAAGAAGUAUUUCGGUAUGUAAAGCUCUAUCAGCAGGGAAGAUAAUGACGGUACCUGACUAAGAAGCACCGGCUAAAUACGUG
rnacentral:rRNA from 1 species